rnacentral:rRNA from 1 species
GUGUCAGCCGCCGCGGUAAUACGUAGGGGGCAAGCGUUAUCCGGAUUUACUGGGUGUAAAGGGAGCGUAGACGGUGUGGUAAGUCAGGUGUGAAAGCCCGGGGCUCAACCCCGGGAUUGCACUUGAAACUAUCAUGCUAGAGUGCAGGAGAGGUAAGUGGAAUUCCUAGUGUAGCGGUGAAAUGCGUAGAUAUUAGGAGGAACACCAGUGGCGAAGGCGGCUUACUGGACUGUAACUGACGUUGAGGCUCGAAAGCGUGGGGAGCAAACAGGAUUAGAUACCCCCGUAGUCC